CCUACGGGUGGCAGCAGUGAGGAAUAUUGGUCAAUGGGCGCGAGCCUGAACCAGCCAAGUAGCGUGAGGGAAGACGGUCCUAUGGAUUGUAAACCUCUUUUGUCGGGGAGCAAAAGACGCCACGCGUGGCGUUCCGAGAGUACCCGAAGAAAAAGCAUCGGCUAACUCCGGGCCAGCAGCCGCGGUAAUACGGAGGAUGCGAGCGUUAUCCGGAUUUAUUGGGUUUAAAGGGUGCGCAGGCGGAAGAUGAAGUCAGCGGUAAAAUUGAGAGGCUCAACCUCUUCGAGCCGUUGAAACUGGUUGUCUUGAGUGAGUGAGAAGUAUGCGGAAUGCGUGGUGUAGCGGUGAAAUGCAUAGAUAUCACGCAGAACUCCGAUUGCGAAGGCAGCAUACCGGCGCUCAACUGACGCUCAUGCACGAAAGUGUGGGUAUCGAACAGGAUUAGAUACCCCAGUAGUC
rnacentral:rRNA from 1 species